rnacentral:hammerhead_ribozyme from 1 species
AUCCAGCUGAUGAGUCCCAAAUAGGACGAAACGCCGUCCUGGAU